AUUGAACGCUGGCGGAAUGCUUUACACAUGCAAGUCGAACGGCAGCACGGACUUCGGUCUGGUGGCGAGUGGCGAACGGGUGAGUAAUGUAUCGGAACGUGCCCAGUCGUGGGGGAUAACGUAGUGAAAAUUACGCUAAUACCGCAUACGAUCUAUGGAUGAAAGCGGGGGAUAGCAAGACCUCGCUCGAUUGGAGCGGCCGAUAUCAGAUUAGGUAGUUGGUGGGGUAAAGGCCCACCAAGCCAACGAUCUGUAGCUGGUCGGAGAGGACGACCAGCCACACUGGAACUGAGACACGGUCCAGACUCCUACGGGAGGCAGCAGUGGGGAAUUUUGGACAAUGGGCGAAAGCCUGAUCCAGCCAUUCCGCGUGCAGGAUGAAGGCCCUCGGGUUGUAAACUGCUUUUGUACAGAACGAAAAGGUUUCUACUAAUACUAGGAGCUCAUGACGGUACUGUAAGAAUAAGCACCGGCUAACUACGUGCCAGCCGCCGCAGUAA
rnacentral:rRNA from 1 species